rnacentral:rRNA from 1 species
CUACGGGUCGCUGCAGUGGGGAAUAUUGGACAAUGGGGGAAACCCUGAUCCAGCAAUGCCGCGUGUGUGAAGAAGGCCUGCGGGUUGUAAAGCACUUUCGGUUGGGAGGACUGCUUCUAGCACUAAUAUUGUUGGAAGUUGACGUUACCUUCAGAAGAAGCACCGGCUAACUCCGUGCCAGCAGCCGGCGGUAAUACGGAGGGUGCAAGCGUUAAUCGGAAUUACUGGGCGUAAAGCGCGCGUAGGCGGCUAGAUCAGUCGGGUGUGAAAGCCCCGGGCUUAACCUGGGAACUGCAUCCGAUACUGUCUAGCUUGAGUACAGGAGAGGAGAGUGGAAUUCCACAUGUAGCGGUGAAAUGCGUAGAUAUGUGGAGGAACACCAAUGGCGAAGGCGGCUCUCUGGCCUGAUACUGACGCUGAGGUGCGAAAGCGUGGGGAGCAAACAGGAUUAGAUACCCCUGUAGUC